UCGGGAAUUUUGGGCAAUGGGCGAAAACCUGACCCAGCAACGCCGCGUGAGGGAUGAAGUAUUUCGGUAUGUAAACCUCGAAAGAAUGGGAAGAAUAAAUGACGGUACCAUUUAUAAGCUCCGGCUAACUACGUGCCAGCAGCCGCGGUAAUACGUAGGGAGCAAGCGUUGUUCGGAUUUACUGGGCGUAAAGGGCGCGUAGGCGGCGCGGUAAGUCACUUGUGAAAUCUCUGAGCUUAACUCAGAACGGCCAAGUGAUACUGCUGUGCUAGAGUGCGGAAGAGGCAACUGGAAUUCUUGGUGUAGCGGUGAAAUGCGUAGAUAUCAAGAGGAACACCUGAGGCGAAGGCGGGUUGCUGAGCCGACACUGACGCUGAUGCGCGAAAGCCAGGGGAGCAAACG
rnacentral:rRNA from 1 species